rnacentral:lncRNA from 1 species
CAUUCGCAGAUCUUCCCCAAUCUGCUCCGUGCACCCCCCGAUCCCCCCCGAUCCCCUCCACGCACCCACGGGCAGGUGAAGGGACGGAGCGGCAGAAGGGCAGCGGUGGUGAGCGCGGACGGAGGAAGAGGGCGGAGGUACGGGAGGAGGAGAAAGGGACGACAAGACCAAAAAAAGGGAUCCGUUCCUUCAGCAAAGGGAUCUAUUCCUUCAAGAAGGGGAUCCAGUCCUUCGGGGAGAGCCCUGAGAAUUCGGGGUGCCCCCAACACCACCUCGCGGCGGAGGCCCCACGAGCGGAAACCCCCUCRGGAACGGGUCUCGAAAGCGCCGGAUCCCACCACCCUCUAGCGGAGACGAGGCGGAAGCACCGGGGCACCGGCGGCAGCGGGAUCCCGGGAGCGCGGGGCCCUCGGGGGGCGCGUGGAGGGAGGGAUGGGGGGAGACCACGUGGGGAUGGAGGGAGAGAGGGAUGGGGAAAGAAAUGGAGACCACGGGGGGAUGGAAAGAGGGAUGGAGAUGACGUGGGGAUGGAGGCCACGGGGGGAUGGAGGAAAAGAGGGAUGGAGACCACGUGGGGAUAGAGGGAGAGAGGGAUGGAGAAAGAAAUGGAGACCACGUGGGGAUGGAAAGAAGGAUGGAGACCACGUGGGGAUAGAGGGAGAGAGGGAUGGAGAAAGAAAUGGAGACCACGGGGGGAUGGAAAGAGGGAUGGAGAUGACGUGGGGAUGGAAAGAGGGAUGGAGGCCACGUGGGGAUGGAGGGAGACAGGGAUGGAGAAAGAAACGGAGACCACGUGGGGAUGGAAAGAGGGAUGGAGACCAAGUGAGGAUGGAGAUGGAGGAAUGGAGGGAUAGAGGGACAGAGGGAUGGAGAAAGAAAUGGAGACCACCUGGGGAUGGAAAGAGGAAUGGAGACUACGUGGGGAUGGAGAGAUGGACAAAAAUCACAUGCAGAUGGAAAGACGGAUGGAGACCACACGGGGAUGAAGACCACACGGAAACGGAGAGACGGAGACCACGUGCGGAUGGAUGAAAACCACGUAGGGACGGAGAGAGGGACGGAAACCACGUGGCGGUGGAGAAGUGGAGGCCGCGUGGGCACGGGGGGCUGGACCCAGAUGUCCCAGCUCCUUGGGGCAGCUCGUYGUGGGGCAGGAGGCUGCGGGGUGGCCUCGAGUCCUCGGGGUGGUCCCGGGUCCCCACGGUGGUCCCCUGGAGGUCCCCAAGAAGGUCCCACCUCCUUGGGGUGGUCCGAGGGGUGGCCCCGAGCCCUUGAGGACACCCCCGUGGGGUCCCUGGGGUGACCUGAAGCCCUCGGGGUGGCCCCAAGUCCUUGGAGACACUUUCGUUUGGUCCCUGGGGCGGUCCCAGGUCCCCGAGAAGGUCCCAGAUCCUUGGGAUGAUCCCAAAUYGUUGGUGACAGCUGUCCUGGGUUCCUGCGGUGGCCCCAAGUCCCUCGGGGGUGACGCCGGGUCCUUGGGGACACUUGUCUUGGGUCCCCGGGGUGGUGCCAGGUGCCCAGAAGAUCCAGGUCCGUUGGGUUGUCCCAAGUCCCUUGAGCGGUCCCAGGUCCUUACCGUGUUCCUGACACCCCGGGGUGGCUCCGGGUCCUCGGGGACACUUGUCCUACRUCCCCAGCGUCCCCUGUCCCGUCUGCCUGGGGUCACCCCACCCGGGCUGGUGCCACCACACUGUCCCUCGCCCCCCGGGGACGUCCCCGAGGGUCCCCAAUGUCCCAUGACCCUCAGACCCCCCCCCUAAAAUUGUCCCCUCCCCCUCCGUCCUCGUCACCGCGCGGUGGCACCGAUCCGGAUGCUCCGCCUCGGCCCUUAACGUCCCCGCCCGGACGCCUGGGUCCCUCCUCUGCUUCGCGCCCCUCCCCCUCCGGAAGGGACCCAGGCGUCCGGGUCCCUCUGUCCCCCCCCCACCCCCGGGGUGUCUGUACUGGGGGACAACACGGCGCCUUUUUGUCACCGCUCUCGUCACCCGCGUCCCCGCCGGCGCUCCCUCGCCGUCGCCCGCCUGCGGGAGGA